rnacentral:rRNA from 1 species
UACGGGGGGGGCAAGCGUUGUUCGGAAUUACUGGGCGUAAAGGGCUCGUAGGCGGCCAACUAAGUCAUACGUGAAAUCCCUCGGCUUAACCGGGGAACUGCGUCUGAUACUGGAUGGCUUGAGAUUGGGAGAGGGAUGCGGAAUUCCAGGUGUAGCGGUGAAAUGCGUAGAUAUCAGGAGGAAUACCGAUGGCGAAGGCAGGUCUCUGGGCUGACACUGACGCUCAUGCACGAAAGCCAGGGGAGCGAACGGG